rnacentral:miRNA from 1 species
GGGUGCCAAACCCAAUAGGUGGG